rnacentral:misc_RNA from 1 species
UACGAGAACCUCAAGCGUUAUCCGGAAUCAUUGGGCGUAAAGAGCUCGUAGGCGGUUCAGCAAGUCGGCUGUGAAAGUCCGAGGCUCAACCUCGGAAUUGCAGUCGAUACUGCUGUGACUCGAGUCCGGUAGAGGAGAAUGGAAUUCUCGGUGUAGCGGUGAAAUGCGCAGAUAUCGAGAGGAACACCAGUAGCGAAGGCAGUUCUCUGGGCCGGCACUGACGCUGAGGAGCGAAAGCGUGGGGAGCAAACAGG